UAUUGUAGCCAUAUAAUAAGAAAAAAUUGAGAACCGAAAGGCACAACCUGCUGGAGGCAACUGAUUGGAAAUUGAUAGACGAACACCACAAAUAUUCCGUGGAAUCCCGCAUGUCUACAACCGGUCCAGCGGUGAUCUCCAAGAGCAUCUUAUUUUCAACAGCCCGGAUAUUUUCUGCAUCAGCUUUCCGGUGUGACACUGAAUUGCUCUAGCUAGAAGCUAUGGGUUAAUUAUAAGGUAAAACCCGGCGUUUCUCGGUGAUUUAAUAAUGGGAAAAUCACCAAGAUUUACUCUAAUGAGGUGUAAUUACUUUAAUUAAAAAGUAAGAAGGAAAUUUUUGAGGUAGGUCCCGUAAGUAAAGCCCAAAAAGCAUUUUUGGAGAACUCAUCAAAUUUUAUAUGGCGCCCUCAGUUGGGGGUUGGUGAAUUAAUUUUAAUUCAUAAAGAUGUUUAUUCAAGCUACCCUUGAGGGGCGGGAUUUCAAUAUGAUCCGAAUUAUGUUGCCCUAUGUCUUCAUGAGACCGUUAAUUACAUCUGGCCGGGGACAUCCUGUGUGGAAUUUUAAUGACUAACGAAAAGGGAAAAUUCACAUAAUCAACGCAUUACACAUGUCCUGAAUCAAAAUUUUCGUUCCCCCCUCUGUGUGGUGUCUAAUUAACAAAGCAAAUUGAAUUGAAUAUACAUCGUCAAUAGAAGUUUAUAGACACAUUGUAUGCAUACAGGGAUUAAUUUCACAGGGUAGGUAGGAUAAUCAUACACGGUGUUGCUUAUUAGCUUUUGAAUGAAUUACUAUAUUCCAUGGAAUAUUAGACUGUACCUACACAGAAGAUAAUUUUAUCAAUGUAUUUUUUUGCGUAAUAAAAAGUUUUUUGAGAUUAUUUCCUGUAUAAUUAAAUUGUUCCUCGGAGUUGUAA